rnacentral:rRNA from 1 species
GAUGAACGCUGGCGGCGUGCCUAAUACAUGCAAGUCGAGCGAACAGACGAGGAGCUUGCUCCUCUGACGUUAGCGGCGGACGGGUGAGUAACACGUGGAUAACCUACCUAUAAGACUGGGAUAACUUCGGGAAACCGGAGCUAAUACCGGAUAAUAUAUUGAACCGCAUGGUUCAAUAGUGAAAGACGGUUUUGCUGUCACUUAUAGAUGGAUCCGCGCCGCAUUAGCUAGUUGGUAAGGUAACGGCUUACCAAGGCGACGAUGCGUAGCCGACCUGAGAGGGUGAUCGGCCACACUGGAACUGAGACACGGUCCAGACUCCUGCGGGGGGCAGCAGUAGGGAAUCUUCCGCAAUGGACGAAAGCCUAACGGAGCAACACCGCGUGAGUGAUGAAGGUCUUCGGAUCGUAAAGCUCUGUUAUUAGGAGAGAACAAAUGUGUAAGUAACUAUGCACGUCUUGACAGUACCUAAUCAGAAAGCCACGGCUAACUACGUG